UGGGCGUUAUUUCAUAAGUUGCUCUGCGCCUUCGCGUGUCUCUUAAAGAAAUUAAGCCGAUUGGCUCCAGAGUGGCCGAGCGUCAGGCGGGCGUUGCCUCGCUGCUCGUUUCGGGCGUUCCUGUGCAGGCUUUGUUUUAUGUCGUACGUUAUAACGUCGUUUGUUUGAUCACCAUAUUGUGUGUCAGAUGUAAGCUUGUGAUUUUUCUCCUGUUUGACAUUAUUCCAUUUUUGUUUGCUACAUUUCCCCAAAUUUCUCCUUUUUUCUGCACAUUCCCACCUGUGAAACACUUCUCCUUUAUUUCUUAUCUUUACCCUCCUCCUCUUCUUUCCGUCUGGCUGUCGUCCUUCACCUCUGUCCCAUCCGGCUCUCUCUCUCCUCCCUGUUUUUGUUGGUACCUGUCUCUCCCUCAUCUCCGUCCCCGCCCCCCUUGUUUCUUGUCCCCCUGUCCUGUCUCCUCAGAUCUGUAUAAGAGUCUCCAGUCAGGGUCUCAGGUUGCUCUGCCUCCUCACUUGCAGCUCGCUUUCUCAGAUGUCAGUCAAAGCCAGGGAGGAGACGCCAAGAGGAAAUCUCUAUGAUGCAGCUGGACGUCAUCGCCCCGGCGGGGACGCCGCUGUCUGACGAAAUGACAAAUCAGGAUGAAACGUGGGUGAAAUUUGGACAGGCCGCUUGUAAUUAGGGUCUGAAAUUUUGAACCGGGUCACUCUUUUUGAGAUCUGAAAAGAUGAGCUCAACUUUUCAUGAAUACCACAGUUAAAUAUAACUUUUUUAAAAAUGAUUUGAUAACUUUGAAAUACUAUUCUUCAUAGAAUUGUUAAUUGAAAUGACAAAUAGAGUUUGUCAAUGUUUACAAGAUAGACCUAUAUCACUGUGGACAGGGAGAAGGAGUGAAUGGGAUUUUUAGGUGUGUGUGUGUGUGCGUGCGUGCGUGUGUGUGUGCGCGCGUGUGUGUGUUUGUAGGUGGGACUGAAAGUGUGCCUUCUGUGUGCCUCCCUCUCUGAUGCAUGGUCAGUGUGUCUUUUCGGUGCUGUUUUUAUCAUAAUGUAAUUAUCACUGAUACCUGUAAGAAAUGUAAACUGCAAAUAGAAUGAACCUUUUUUUCAAUGAGA